rnacentral:rRNA from 1 species
GACGAACGCUGGCGGCGUGCUUAACACAUGCAAGUCGAGCGGAAAGGCCACUUCGGUGGUACUCGAGCGGCGAACGGGUGAGUAACACGUGAGUAAUCUGCCCUUGGCUUUGGGAUAGCCACCGGAAACGGUGAUUAAUACCGGAUAUGACCACUUCUCGCAUGGGUUGUGGUGGAAAGUUUUUUCGGCCAGGGAUGUGCUCGCGGCCUAUCAGCUUGAUGGUGAGGUAAUGGCUCACCAUGGCUUCGACGGGUAGCCGGCCUGAGAGGGUGACCGGUCACACUGGGACUGAGACACGGCCAAGACUCCUGCGGGAGGCAGCAGUGGGGAAUAUUGGACAAUGGGCGGAAGCCUGAUCCAGCAACGCCGCGUGAGGGAUGACGGCCUUCGGGUUGUAAACCUCUUUCGGUAGGGACGAAGCGCAAGUGACGGUACCUGCUAAAGAAGCACCGGCCAACUACGUGCCAGCAGCCGCAGUAAAAC